GGGAGUAUACGCUAUCUCGGGGGCCCAAUCGGGAAUGUACACUGCCUGAACGUUCAGCUCGUGGCUGGUCGAAUGGCUGCUUGCUGGGAUGCUGCUGGAAAGGUUCGUCUGCCCUUGUCCUACUUCGGGAUACCUCGUCCGGGGCACGUUGGAUCCCGAUGCGUUGCAAAAGUUGAUUCACCAAAGUUGUCUGUUGUGCAAGGGCGCUCGUCAACUCUAUGACUUGUCGAGACAAGUGUUGUUCGCCAUUUGGAUUGGAAGAGCUUGGAAUGAAUGCGCCUCCUUGAGUAGUGGAAGGGUGGUAGACUCCGGGCGCGAGAUUUGAGUUGGGAAAUGUCAAAUCC
rnacentral:lncRNA from 1 species